rnacentral:rRNA from 1 species
UAGGGAAUCUUCGGCAAUGGGGGGAACCCUGACCGAGCAACGCCGCGUGAGUGAAGAAGGUAUUCGGAUCGUAAAGCUCUGUUGUUAAGGAAGAACGAGUGUGAGAAUGGAAAGUUCAUACUGUGACGGUACUUAACCAGAAAGGGACGGCUAACUACGUGCCAGCAGCCGCGGUAAUACGUAGGUCCCGAGCGUUGUCCGGAUUUAUUGGGCGUAAAGCGAGCGCAGGCGGUUAGAAAAGUCUGAAGUGAAAGGCAGUGGCUCAACCAUUGUAGGCUUUGGAAACUGUUUAACUUGAGUGCAGAAGGGGAGAGUGGAAUUCCAUGUGUAGCGGUGAAAUGCGUAGAUAUAUGGAGGAACACCGGUGGCGAAAGCGGCUCUCUGGUCUGUAACUGACGCUGAGGCUCGAAAGCGUGGGGAGCGAACAGG